CAAUAGCGUAUAUUAAAGUUGUUGCGGUUAAAAAGCUCGUAGUUGGAUUUCUGCCGAGGACGUCCGGUCCGCCCUCUGGGUGAGUACAUGGCACGGCCUGGGCAUCUUCUUGGGGAACGUAUCUGCACUUGACUGUGUGGUGCGGUAUCCAGGACUUUUACUUUGAGGAAAUUAGAGUGUUUCAAGCAGGCACACGCCUUGAAUACAUUAGCAUGGAAUAAUAAGAUAGGACCUCGGUUCUAUUUUGUUGGUUUCUAGAGCUGAGGUAAUGAUUAAUAGGGACAGUUGGGGGCAUUCGUAUUUAACUUUCAGAGGUGAAAUUCUUGGAUUUGUUAAAGACGGACUACUGCGAAAGCAUUUGCCAAGGAUGUUUUCAUUGA
rnacentral:rRNA from 1 species